CACGACAGGACGACUUACUGCUACGCCAUCUUGGAAAAAAAAUAAAAAAUAAAUCCAUGUUAUUAUUUAUUGUGAAGGUGUAGGAUAUAUUACAUGGAUUUAUUGUGAAGGUGUAGACUAUAUUACAUGGAUUUAUUGUGAAGGUGUAGACUAUAUUACAUGGAUUUAUUGUGAAGGUGUAGACUAUAUUACAUGGAUUUAUUGUGAAGGUGUAGACUAUAUUACAUGGAUUUAUUGUGGUGUAGACUAUAUUACAUGGAUUUAUUGUGAAGGUGUGGGUAGACUAUAUUACAUGGAUUUAUUGUGAAGGUGUAGACUAUAUUACAUGGAUUUAUUGUGAAGGUGGAGGCUAUAUUACAUGGAUUUAUUGUGAAGGUGUAGAAUAUAUUACAUGGAUUUAUUGUGAAGGUGUAGACUAUAUUACAUGGAUUUAUUGUGAAGGUGUAGACUAUAUUACAUGGAUUUAUUGUGGUGUAGACUAUAUUACAUGGAUUUAUUGUGAAGGUGUGGGUAGACUAUAUUACAUGGAUUUAUUGUGAAGGUGUAGACUAUAUUACAUGGAUUUAUUGUGAAGGUGGAGGCUAUAUUACAUGGAUUUAUUGUGAAGGUGUAGAAUAUAUUACAUGGAUUUAUUGUGAAGGUGUAGACUAUAUUACAUGGAUUUAUUGUGAAGGUGUAGAAUAUAUUACAUGGAUUUAUUGUGACGGUGUAGAAUAUAUUACAUGGAUUUAUUGUGAAGGUGUAGACUAUAUUACAUGGAUUUAUUGUGAAGGUGUAGAAUAUAUUACAUGGAUUUAUUGUGAAGGUGUAGAAUAUAUUACAUGGAUUUAUUGUGAAGGUGUAGAAUAUAUUACAUGGAUUUAUUGUGAAGGUGGAGGCUAUAUUACAUGGAUUUAUUGUGGUGUAGGCUAUAUUACAUGGAUUUAUUGUGAAGGUGGAGGCUAUAUUACAUGGAUUUAUUGUGAAGGUGUAGAAUAUAUUACAUGGAUUUAUUGUGAAGGUGUAGAAUAUAUUACAUGGAUUUAUUGUGAAGGUGGAGGCUAUAUUACAUGGAUUUAUUGUGGUGUAGGCUAUAUUACAUGGAUUUAUUGUGAAGGUGGAGGCUAUAUUACAUGGAUUUAUUGUGAAGGUGGAGGCUAUAUUACAUGGAUUUAUUGUGAAGGUGUAGAAUAUAUUACAUGGAUUUAUUGUGAAGGUGUAGAAUACAUUACAUGGAUUUAUUGUGAAGGUGUAGGCUAUAUUACAUGGAUUUAUUGUGAAGGUGUAGAAUAUAUUACAUGGAUUUAUUGUGAAGGUGUAGACUAUAUUACAUGGAUUUAUUGUGAAGGUGUAGAAUAUAUUACAUGGAUUUAUUGUGAAGGUGUAGAAUAUAUUACAUGGAUUUAUUGUGAAGGUGUAGAAUAUAUUACAUGGAUUUAUUGUGAAGGUGGAGGCUAUAUUACAUGGAUUUAUUGUGGUGUAGGCUAUAUUACAUGGAUUUAUUGUGAAGGUGGAGGCUAUAUUACAUGGAUUUAUUGUGAAGGUGGAGGCUAUAUUACAUGGAUUUAUUGUGAAGGUGUAGAAUAUAUUACAUGGAUUU
rnacentral:lncRNA from 13 species